rnacentral:tRNA from 1 species
AAAAAAGCCGGGAUAGCUCAG